rnacentral:rRNA from 1 species
UACGGGGGGGAGCAAGCGUUGUUCGGAUUUACUGGGCGUAAAGGGCGCGUAGGCGGCGUGACAAGUCACUUGUGAAAUCUCCGGGCUUAACUCGGAACGGUCAAGUGAUACUGUCGUGCUAGAGUACAGAAGGGGCAACUGGAAUUCUCGGUGUAGCGGUGAAAUGCGUAGAUAUCGAGAGGAACACCUGCGGCGAAGGCGGGUUGCUGGGCUGAUACUGACGCUGAGGCGCGAAAGCCAGGGGAGCGAAUGGG